UUCUAAUCUGCACAGAGCCCUUUGAGGGAGGAACUUCUAUGUCUCCUAGCAGAUGGGGAAACUGAGACCUCAGGGCAUCAGGAUUGGCAGCGACCCUGGAGAUCCAAUGCCUACCUGCCUCCAGUAUUUUUCUUAACUGAUGAGGAAAUUGAGCACCAGAGAGAGAAAAUGACCAUUUUACAGCGUAGCUUGGUCAAGCUUGCAUCUAUCAAUAGAGAAGCAAAGGAAGGUAAAUCUACGUUGCUUCUAGAAACUGGAGGCAUUUUGACCAUUUCAAUAUGAAAUGUCUCUUUCAA